GGCCUAAUGGUCUAGUAGCAUGAUACCUCCUUCGGGGUUCCUCCCCCAGUAGAUUCUACUGUUUCUGGAGGUGGUCCUGGGUUCAAUUCCCAGUUAGGCCC